rnacentral:rRNA from 1 species
AACGCGUAGGUAAUCUACCCUCAGGCGGGGGACAACAUUCCGAAAGGAAUGCUAAUACCGCAUAUGACCACGCUCACUACGGUGAAAGUGGUAAAGGGCGCCUCAAAGCGCCACCAGAGGAUGAGCCUGCGUCCCAUCAGCUUGUUGGUAAGGUAACGGCUUACCAAGGCUAAGACGGGUAGCUGGUCUGAGAGGAUGAUCAGCCACACUGGCACUGGAACACGGGCCAG